ensembl:snRNA U6 U6 spliceosomal RNA
GUGCUCGCUUCGGCAGCACAUAUACUAAAAAUUGGAACCAUACAGAGUAGAUUAGCAUGGACCCUGCUCAAGGUUGACAUGUAAAUUCAUGAAGCCUUCCAUAUUAAA